CCAAGAGACAGAGAAAGGCGCUUGAGAAUCCUGAAGAGGCGCGCGGUGAAUGAUGAAGCCAAAGGUUUGAUCACGGAUCGAGAAAAUUCUAGCUCCACCGAGAUCAGGCAGUUGCAUGUUUUGCCUCCGAUGCGUGUCGAAUGUCUGGAACUGGAAGCUUGCCAAAAUAUGUGCAUUGAUACUCAUCGGAGGCUGUUGCAUCUGUAUCCUACAUGUGUCUGCAUCAACACUUUCAAGAACUUAGUAACUGUAAUCAUAUCCAAACAUAUCAGUCCUUGAACCAACUCUGAGAUUAUUGGUGGAGCUUUAUAUAUUUAGUUUUCAUUGUUUUAUAUGAUCACGUAUUUAGUA